rnacentral:rRNA from 1 species
GACGAACGCUGGCGGCGUGCUUAACACAUGCAAGUCGAACGGAAAGGCCCUGCUUUUGUGGGGUGCUCGAGUGGCGAACGGGUGAGUAACACGUGAGUAACCUGCCCUUGACUUUGGGAUAACUUCAGGAAACUGGGGCUAAUACCGGAUAGGAGCUCCUGCUGCAUGGUGGGGGUUGGAAAGUUUCGGCGGUUGGGGAUGGACUCGCGGCUUAUCAGCUUGUUGGUGGGGUAGUGGCUUACCAAGGCUUUGACGGGUAGCCGGCCUGAGAGGGUGACCGGGCACAUUGGGACUGAGAUACGGCCCAGACUCCUACGGGAGGCAGCAGGGGGGAAUAUUGCACAAUGGGCGGAAGCCUGAUGCAGCAACGCCGCGUGCGGGAUGACGGCCUUCGGGUUGUAAACCGCUUUCGCCUGUGACGAAGCGUGAGUGACGGUAAUGGGUAAAGAAGCACCGGCUAACUACGUG